rnacentral:lncRNA from 1 species
CUGGAGAUAAAAUGCAGGAGAAAAGUGAAUUUCAUUUGAUCUGCACAGGUAAGACGAAGUGGGGCAAUUGAAACAGUUAUCUGAAUACUUCAAUAAAAUACUUUCUUUGAUUUAGUUAUUCAAAUAAAUCCUUAUUUUUCUUUGCUAUGUCAUCCAAUUUGCUUUUGAAAAGUCACAUGCUUUUAUAUAUAUAUAAUAAAGGCUUAAAGAUAUUUAACAUUUAAGGUUAUCAGAGCUUUAUAAAAAGUAGAAAGAGAUGCUAAAACUUUAGUCUUCAUCACAGUGUUGAAUAUGGCUGGAAAAGCAUGAUGCAAUCUCUAUGUUUUCACACAUUUAAUUCUAUCCCCUAAAGAAACUACCACUUGCUCAUAAUUUCCAGCUGCCAACAUCUGCAAUUAGAAACUGGCAAAACAAUUACCCUAACAGCUGCUAGAAACAUAUAGUUUACAACAAAAUGUCAAACGUGUUUUUGGAUUUGAAUUAAAAAAAAAUUCAUUUUCAUUUCACUUAUCACCCAAGCUUCCCUCCAUUAAUUAAUCAUUCUGUUGAAUAGUUUCCCAAAGAUAUCACAUUCUAUUAGUAUUCACCACAUUUAUUUUUAGUGAAGAGAUAACAAGACUAACAAGGGACAUUCAGUUGUAAACAUGAGGUGGAAUUAUGCACUCUGAUAUCUAGAUGACCUCUAUGGUUCCCUCUGAAUCAGACCCUAGGAUUAUAAUCAAAAGAAGAUUAUCCCAGGUCUGUAAAAAUGAUCAUUCUUACCCUUUUGGCUUUUAAUUUUAUCAAACAAAAUUACAAAUGCUCCUGUAUUAUACCAUGCUGAAGGAGUUGUUCAAAAUGCAUUAUAUAAAUUCAGUUAAUAAAUAUUAUUGGUCAAGGCAGCAGUCUUUUCUACAAUAUUUCUUACAGCAGUGUCUUUUUAUUUAUAUAUGAUAGUGGAAUGCAUUACAAUUCUUAUUGCACAUAUAUAACAUAAUUUUUCAUAUCUCUGGUUGUAUACAUAGUAUAUUCACACCAAUUCAUGUCUUCAUACCUGUACUUUGGAUAGUAAUGAUCAUCACAUUGCACCAUCAUUAAUAACCCCAUACCUGCUCCCUUCCCCUCCAACCCCUGUGCCCUAUCUAGAGUUCACCUAUUCCUCCCAUGCUUCCUCUCCUUAUCCCACUAUGAAUCAACCUCCUUAUAUCAAAGAAAAUAUUCAGUACUUGCUUUAUUGGGAUUGGCUAAAUUUACUUAGCAUUAUCUUCUCUAACUCCAUCCAUUUACCUGCAAAUGCCAUGAUUUUAUUCUCUUUUAUUGCUGAGUAAUAUUCCAUUGUGUACAUAUGCCACAUUUUUUAAAUCCAUUCAUCUCCUGAAGGUUAAAGCAGUGUCAUUUUAUCAUACAGGUUUCAGCAGGUGUGUCAUCUUGUCCUCAAAAGUGCAGGUGAAGCAAGAUCACAAUAUUUUUCUUAGGUGAUUUGAGGAGCACAAAUUAAUGAAAAGGUCUCUAAGAUUCUUAAGGCGGUGAAUUGUUAACAUAGAAAUUAUCUCUCUUAAAAAUGGGAUGGGGGUCUGUCUAUCUAUCUAUCUAUCUAUCUAUCCAUCCAUCUAUCCAUCUAUUCUCUAUCCAUCUAUCCUAGUUAUGUUUCAAUUAGAUUAGAAACAAACCCAGAUUGGGGAAACCAACUGUGGGAUACCUGGCCAAUCCCCCCCAACACUUUCAAAGACAUUUAAAAAAAAAUACGAUGUUGUCUCCUGAUUGGAUCCUAGAGUAAAAACAGGACAUUAAGGGAAAACAAACAAACUAUAGAAAUUCAAAUAAAAAUUGGAGAUUAGCAAGACAUCAAUUUUGUUUUGUUUUUCUAUUACUAAGAUAAUGUAAGAUGACAAAAAAUGUGUAAGAUUUGGUGACGGCUAUGUAGAAAACUCAUUGCACUAAUUUUGAAACAUUGAAAAUUUAAAAUUAUUAUAAAAGACAUAAUUUUUCUCUAUAUUAAAAAAUCCUGCAGGUACACAGACACAUGUAUAGCAUUCAGAAGAGAUUGGCAACAAUUAUCAGCAAAGAAAAGUGGAUUGAGAUAAGAAUCUUCCCAGGCUUCAUCUUAUUUCAAGCUUUGGUUCUGUAUCACAGAAGACAUUAUCCAACAAAAAUGAACCAGGAUAUUUUAUGUCUCCCUUCUUCCAUACCUAUUCUGUAACUUUAGACCCAACAUAUGAAUCAAACAUAACCUGGACAUCAUCUUUUGGUCUUGGGUGAGUCACUUUCCCCAACACAGGCAGGUAGUGAAAAAUCUCAGAAAACAAAUGGAGAGAAAGUGUGGAAAUGGUAUUGACAUGGCACAGAGCUUUCUAGAAGGCAUCUAGCAUUUACUAAUGAAAGUCACGAAGUGGGAGUGAUGCAGGAUAUUUCUUGAUAGCAGAGCAAUCAAUGGUAUAUUUUCACAUAUUAUUUUUGAGCACCUGACUAUUCAGUCUAGGUCUGACAAAAUCUAGCACUUAGCUAAGGAACUCAACACAUUAAUAUCUACCCUCAGGCUACAGAUUCGUUCAAAUGUGAAAUAUUUAUUGAGGGCUUAUUUGUGUGAGCCAGUAUUUAAUGAUACACGAGUAAAAAUGACAGGCAAUGUUUUUUCUCUCACAGAACAAAUAUUGUAGUUGAGAAGAAUAGAAAACAAGUAAAUGGACAAAUAAAUAAUAACACAAAUAAGAUAAUGAUAAAAGCUAUUCAUAGGACAAAAGUAGAGUGAUGUAUACAUCAUUUGUAAUUUAGAAGUUAUUGUAGACAGACCUCAUUAAGACAAAAUUUAAUAUUAGAAGGGAAAUAAAAGAAUAAAAAUAUGCCACGCAAUUUGGGGUGGGUAGAGGGAGAAGAGCGGAGAAAAGAGUUUGUAUAAAUAUCCGAACACAAAAAUCCUAUUGGAGUGUGCCAGAACUUUACUGACAAGGGAAUACAAAAUGUGGAUGCUAAAUAAUGUAGGAUUGGGGGAUAUAUUUUGUUGUUAAGAUCAAUAUAAAUGGCUAAGUGAUCAAGUGGGACUGAAGGAAAGAGAAAAACCAAGGACUCUGCAUUUUUUUUAUUUUUGGUACCAGGAAUUAAACCCAGGGGUGUUUAACCCUUGAGUUACAUGCUUAGCCUUUUUAAAUUUUGAGACAGGUUCUCACUAAGUUGCUUAAGGCCUCGCUAAGUUGCUGAGGCUGACUUUGAACUUGUGAUCCUGCUCAACCUCUUGAGCCACUGGGAUUACAGGCAUGUGCUACCAAGCCAGGCUAGGACUCUGAAAUUUGGGCCUCCAUAAAAGGCAGUAAAGUGUCACUCAUUACCAGGCUGGAGAAUAUCAAAGGAAGGUCAGGUCUGAAGAAAGACUCUCAAUAGUUUUACUUCAGUUAUGUUAGGUUUGCUUUACCACAAGGAGGCACAUAUUCAUACAUGUAUAUAACAUAAUUUGAUCAUAUCCACUCUCUAUUACCCUCCAUAACCUUUCCCUUCUCCUCCCCCAAUCUACUUCUCCUUCUAUUUUCAUGUUGUCUUUUCCCUCUAGACUUCACAUAUAAAAUAAACCAUGUUGUACCUGUCUUUCUGAAUCUGACUUAAUUUUUCUUAACAUUAUGACCUGCAGUUCCAUUCAUUUUCCUGUAAAUAACAUGAUUUUGUAUCUCUUUAUGGCUGAAUAAUACCCAAUUGUGUGUGUGUGUGUAUGUUGUAUUGCGUGUGUGUGUGUUAUGUGAUAUAUAUAUAUAUAUAUCACAUAACACACAUAUAUAUAUCGUAUUUUUUUAAUGCACUCAUCUGAUGAUGGACAACAAGGCUGGUUCCAUAACUUGGCUAUUGUGAAUUGUGCUGUGUUAAACAUAGGUAUGUACUUGUCCCUAUCAUAUGCUGACUUUAAUUCCUUCAAAUAUAUACCAAGGAGUGAGACAGGUGGAUCAUAUGAUAGCUCUGUUCUUGGUGUUUUGAGGAGCUCCAUACCGAUUUCCAUAGUGACUAUACUAAUUUACAUUCUCACCAACAGUGUGUAAGCAUUUCUUUCCCCCCGCCACCUACUUACCAGCAUUUGUUAUUUUUUGUUUUUGUAUUGAUUGCUAUUCUAACUGGGGUGAAAUGGAAUCUCAAUGUAGUUUGGAUCUGCAUUUCCCUGAUAGUUACAGAUGUUGAACACUUUUUUUCAUAUAAUUCUUGGCCAUUUGUAUUUCUUUUUCUUUUUUGAAAAAGUUUCUAUUAAGUUCACUUGCCCGUUUAUUGAUUGGGUUAUUUAGAUAUUUUGGUGCUGUUGAUUAGGUUAUUUACUUCAUAGUCCUUUCAUGGAAAUUAGAAAAGCAUGCCUUGUUUAGGUUGAUGAGUCUGAUAUUCAUGAGUUUUGUUGCUGUAUUUUCUUCUGUGAAUUCAUUUUUUGAAUGCUAGAAGAAAACACAGGGGAAAUACUUCAGGACAGAGGCACAGACAAUGACUUCCUGAAUAGGAUUCCAGUAGCUCAGGGAAUCAUAACAAGAACUGAGAAAUAAGACAGCAUCAAAUUAAAAAUCUGCACAGCAAAGGAAACAAUUAACAGAGUGGAGAGGCAGCCUGCAGGAUGGGAGAAAAAUCUUUGCCAGCUACUUUUCUGAUAGAUUAAUAUUCAGAAUUGAUACUUGAGGACUUUUAAGUAGAUAACUGAGUAUUACAUACUGACAGGAAGGAGAAAAGAAGAUAAAAGAGUGAGAGGAGGGUAUUUUAAAAAAUCAUUCAGAAAGUCUUGUGGGAUGGAACACAGAACCCAGAAUCUAAUAUUGAUCUAGUAAGAUUUAGAGCCAAUAAAACAGGCGGGAAGAAAUGAAGAAUAAAUAGGGGUGAGUUUUGGCUAGGAAACUUGACAUAUCUGUGUCUUUGCUGUCUCUUUAUAGACAGAGCUGUACUGUGCCUGACAUACAACAAAUCCUUAAUCAGUACUUAAUACAGGAAUGAAUGAUUAGGGUAAUGGAAGCUGUCAGAAGUUCAUCUUCAAUUUCUGUACAACAUCUACCAAAAAGGAGGAGAUGGGGUUAAGAGAAACACUGUCAAAGUGGGUAAGCAAGGAAACAAGUCUGUAGGGGAAAGAAGAGAGCAACACAGGGUCUCUGGAGACUUUGGAACCAUGGUAGUGUCUGUUGGACAGAAGUUGCUUAUUCCCAUCAGUAUCCAUAAGAAAAUGAAGAAGAAAACAAUUAGAUUUAUCCAUUCCUUCCAAGAACCUACUUGACAAUCGGGACAGGUCUUUGUUAUUUUUUGUUGCCUCAGAGAUAUCCCUAUUAAACUAAAACUCAUGAUGUGUCCUCCUCUGAAGUACUAUCUUGAGUUUAGAAUGAAUUCUACUCACUAAGGUCUAUUCCACUUCACAGGAAUCGCUAGUUUAUUCCAUCCCACCUGUCUUCCUGGCACUGACUCUGCACAGGGUGGCAUAAGCCAGAUUCUGUCUCCCUGAGGCCUCACUCACUCCAUAACACCUUCCCAUGGGGGAUAUAUCCCUCUCAACACUUUCUGGCAGAAUCCCAAGUGUCUUUUCAACUUCCCUUCUUGUCAUCAAUUGACUUUUAAUGCAAGUAAAUGCUCGAGUAGCAAAACUGUUGUAUGAUUUUUUUUUUCUUUCUGUUAUUGAAAGCUGUUGAUCCUGAUUGUUUUCUGUGUCAUUCACUUGGAAACAUGCAUUGGUUCUAUGGGGCCAAGUUGCAGCUCACUUAUAGGACGCUUCUGUACAAAUUAGGAAAAGAUGCACUUUCUAAGCUGGUGAGUUAGGAAAAAUGGAUCUCUGUGGACCAAUGCUGCACCAGGAAAGAUUUGGAAGUGCAGAGGGUAUAUGUGUGUUGAGAAAGAGGUGCUCAGUCUUCUGGGAAGGAGCAACUUACAAGGCAGGACACCUAUCUGCAGUUAUCCUGCAGAACAGUGCUACAACUCAGUCCCCACUUAAUGCCUUGGCUGGAGCCUCAGUGCAGAAUGAGCACUCUCAUGGUUCAUAAACUGACUCAUGCAACAUUUGAAGGGUAAAUAAGUCAUCUGUAGAAAGUCAUUCACAGAAAAGAUGAUUUUAAUGCAGUGAAUUUUGUUGUUAUUUAAAAUACAAAGAUCAGGACUAUUUUGCUUUCCAUUGCAUGUUAUAAAACAAUGACAAUGACAGCAUGGAAGUUUUGGAGUCUUAGUGCUAUGAAUCACUUCUGUUUUACUCUUGUUUAAAUGACCAAACUGAAUGUUUUUGUUUAUAAACGUGAGAGGAAAGGGAAAAGCCAAAAUAUCAAACAACUAAAAAAGUCCAUUGUCUUGAAUAAUAAAACUGCCAGAGAAGGUAAUUCGUGCGUCAGUGCAUGAAUUUAUUUAAAGAAGAUAAAAGUCGUUUUUUUUUCCCUCAAACUCUCCAAUAGAGACACUAAAUCAAACCCCAAAUCUGAAGUAGCAGAUAUUAGAUGUCAGAUGCAUGGGCCACUCAUUCAUCUCCCCCUUUCCUUCAAAUAACUUGGCUCAGAACAGGGGAGCACAAGUCAGUUGUGAUUAAGAUGCAAAGAUCAAAGCUCUGUUCUCCAAGCACGGAGGGCAGUAUCUGAGGUGGCAGGCCCUGAUACAUGUGAGUGGCUGGAGAAACUCUGUGAGGGGGAGAGGCUGAGCAGCUUCAGAGGAUAAGGUAAGAUAUAAUAUGAUUGUUUUCUCAUUAAUUUUUUGUUUUCUCCUCCAGAUCCCCGUCCAAUGCCAUCAGGAGAAAAAUUUGAAAACAUCAUGAAAAAUGCUUCUACUCCUCUUCAACUUGGCUACUUUUGAAAUUGUCUUAAUAAAAGCUAAACAAAUACUGUGAUAAAUCUUUUAGUUACAAGGUUUCAAUUUAUUACAGGUUAAUUAAGUAUAACCCUUUAAGGCCCAAAUUGAUGGGUUUCUUUUGAGAUUGUCCUAAAAUACAAAUGUAAUCUAAAAUGUAUAAAUCUCAAACUGCAUGAAUGUCAGUCUUACCUUAUGGCCCUCUUGUAAUUGGGGAGAAACAAUGUAAACCCCCAAAAGACAUUCUUUCCAUAUUUAAAUACCAAUUCAAUUUCAACCAUAUGAAAAAUUACACAAUUAAAUUCUAUUUUCUGAACAUGAGUGAUUUCUCAUCCUGGAGUCGCUCUUCUUCUUUGUGGC